UCCCAGCCUGCUUCCCCGCCGGCCGCCGCCCUCCCUCCUCCCCGGGAGAGAGCAAGGCGCGCGGGUCCCUCUGCGCCACCCCCGCCCCCGCCCCUUCCGAGCAAACUUUUGGCACCCGCCGCAGCCCAGCGCGCGUUCGUGCUCCGCAGGGCGCGCCUCUCUCCGCCAAUGCCAGGCGCGCGGGGGAGCCAUUAGGAGGCGAGGAGAGAGGAGGGCGCAGCUCCCGCCCAGCCCAGCCCUGCCCGGAGGCAGACGCGCCGGAACCGGGACGCGAUAAAUAUGCAGAGCGGAGGCUUCGCGCAGCAGAGCCCGCGCGCCGCCCGCUCCGGGUGCUGAAUCCAGGCGCGGGGACACGAGCCAGGUGCCGCCGCCGGAGCCCGCGGAGCCGGGGCCAGAGCCGGAGCGCGUCCGCGUCCACGCAGCCGCCGGCCGGCCAGCACCCAGGGCCCUGCAUGCCAGGUCGUUGGAGGUGGCAGCGAGACAUGCACCCGGCCCGGAAGCUCCUCAGCCUCCUCUUCCUCAUCCUGAUGGGCACUGAACUCACUCAAAAUAAAAGAGGAAACAAAGGAGAGGAGAUGGGAGGGCCAGAGAGUGAGAGGAAGACCACAGGAGAGAAGAUACUGAAUGAGCUUCCCUUGUUUUGCCUGGAAGCCCUCACUGGCUCCCUGGCUCUGCCCAGAAUGUGCAGUCCAAAUCCCAAUCCAGCAGUGGGGUUACGUCGUCCCGUUUACCCUCAGAGUCCCUCUCCUGGUGCUGCCCAGACGAUCAGCCAGUCCCCCCUGGAGAGGUUUUGUGUGGCCUCUAAGAGAGAAGUUUUCUUGGCCACAGGAAGGCCUGGUGGAGGGGUGGUGGUUGUGCACUGUGGCUGGACAGGUGCAUUCAUUCACGUGCACACACACACACACACACACGCACACACGCACACAGAGGGGAGCAGAUACCUGCAGAGAAGAGCAACCAGGUCCCGAUUAG